CCUACGGGUGGCAGCAGUAGGGAAUCUUCCACAAUGGACGAAAGUCUGAUGGAGCAACGCCGCGUGAGUGAAGAAGGGUUUCGGCUCGUAAAGCUCUGUUGGCAGUGGAGAAAGAUAGAGGUAGUAACUGGCCUUUAUUUGACGGUAACUACUUAGAUAGUCACGGUUGACUACGUGCCAGCAGCUGCGGUAAUACGUAGGUGGCAAGCGUUGUCCGGAUUUAUUGGGCGUAAAGCGAGUGCAGGCGGUUCAAUAAGUUUGAUGUGAAAGGCUUCGGCGCAACCGGAGAAUUGCCGCAGAAACUGUUGAACUUGAGUGCAGGAGAGGAGCGAGGAACUCCAGGUGUAGCGGUGGAAUGCGUAGAUAUAUGGAAGAACACCGGUGGCGAAGGCGGCUCUCUGGUCUGCAACUGACGCUGAGGCUCGAAAGCAUGGGUAGCGAACAGGAUUAGAUACCCUAGUAGUC
rnacentral:rRNA from 1 species